rnacentral:rRNA from 1 species
GAGUUUGAUCUUGGCUCAGAUUGAACGCUGGCGGCAGGCCUAACACAUGCAAGUCGAGCGGUAGAGAGAAGCUUGCUUCUCUUGAGAGCGGCGGACGGGUGAGUAAUGCCUAGGAAUCUGCCUGGUAGUGGGGGAUAACGUUCGGAAACGGACGCUAAUACCGCAUACGUCCUACGGGAGAAAGCAGGGGACCUUCGGGCCUUGCGCUAUCAGAUGAGCCUAGGUCGGAUUAGCUAGUUGGUGAGGUAAUGGCUCACCAAGGCGACGAUCCGUAACUGGUCUGAGAGGAUGAUCAGUCACACUGGAACUGAGACACGGUCCAGACUCCUACGGGAGGCAGCAGUGGGGAAUAUUGGACAAUGGGCGAAAGCCUGAUCCAGCCAUGCCGCGUGUGUGAAGAAGGUCUUCGGAUUGUAAAAGCACUUUAAGUUGGGAGGAAGGGCAGUUACCUAAUACGUGAUUGUUUGACGUUACCGACAGAAUAAGCACCGGCUAACUCUAGUGCCAGCCGCC